AAUCAGCUGAUAUCUGCGCCCAAAAGGCCGAUUUUUUAAUGAAUGUCUCAGACUCCGCUCUGGGCAGCACUGUAUGCUGUUCUGUAGUAGAGUCGUUAGAGCUCCCCCUAGUGUCCAUUCCACCAUCCUACUGACACACAGCAGAUGAGCUGAGGAGCUCAGUUCCCCAGAACCUGCAGAGCUUCAGAUAGAGCUGCGGAGAACAGCUUCACUUCAGCCUCAACUGGAUCCAAACUGGACAGAUGACAAAGGUGGAUAUCAAGGUGUACUUUUCAGAGGAUGCUGUGGCACCCUCUGACUGGACUAUUUACACUGGAAAGAACUACUUUCCCACAGGCUGUGAAGAGCAAACAGAGGUUUAACAUUCAUGGCCAGUCGAUACGAGUCCUCUUGAGGGGUCAGUGGGUCCACUGCACAGGGAAACAGAAGGAACUGGUCAGUGUGGAGGAGUCUUAGAGAAGAAUGGAACAGAAUGAAACAGAAGUCAUGUGUCCUGGAAUCCCCUUUUGAACAGAUGACCAGUUCUCCCUUUAGAAUUGAUUUCGUAGAUGAUUUUGCUCUUUUCUCUUUUUGGCUUUCUGAUCAUUACUAGUUGAUUGUCUUCCCAGGAACAUGCUGGGCCAUAACACAAUGUUUAUUACUGUGGCAAAUACUGGUAUUUGUGACCCUUAUUGUAUUAGUGGAACAUGACCAGAGUUUAGAACCUAAUAUAAUAAACAGUCUUUAAUCUAAGUACCUACCUAACUA
rnacentral:lncRNA from 1 species